GGUCAACACGUCAUCAGAGAAGAGGUGUUGUUGCAAGAGGGAGGGUACAUGAAUUUAAAAAAAGGAUGUGCUGGAUUAAUAAUAUAUAAUAAAUACGUCAAUAUUCCAUAAAAAAAAUAAGAAUUGUCCAUUUUGAUUUCAUGUUGACUAACAGCACUUGGACUUUCUGCAGAUUUCAUCGUUUUGCCAGUAGGUGGCGAUAAUGGACCGAGUCACUGAAUCACUCACUCAAACGAUUCAUUCGAAACACUGGUUCAUUCAGGAAUAUUCGCGCGACGGUUGAUUUUGACCUUAUUUUUGCAAAAUGGCAAAACUCUGUCUAGAAUGAAUUAUAGACCUCAUUAAGCUGCAGGUGUAGCAGUCUGGCUGGAGAGGGACUUUGGGAGACACUCGUCUGUACAGAUACACGGCAUAGCAAGCUGCAGCUUCAGAGCCCCUGGUCCCCAUCCACUCUCACUGUAUGGAAGAGAGCAGCUCGGAGCAUCUGCUAAAUGUCUCCUAUUGUGUUCUACAGAAGAAGGUAAGAACAGCUUUAUGAGGAGAUUAGAACAUGGCCCGGCCCUCUGAAAGAGAAUUCAUCACUUAAAAACACUGGAAACCUGACACACUUAGAGUUGGAGCGCUGGCCCUAAAUGAAGCUAAUGAAUCCUACAUUUCCUCACACACCUGAACUUGUAUUCCCUCUCGACUGGCAUUGUAUAUAAAAGGGAAGGCAGGGCAAAAACUAAACAGCCCAAGUUUCUGAACACUCCCUCUGAUCAACCAUUUAUCAUCCACCAGUAAUUAACCCACUGCGUUUUUCUGUGCUCUUGGCAUUAAAAAGAAGUAAACAGAUAUUUAAAUGUGCGAGAAAGAUUUGCCAGAAUGUGUAACCUGUAUCUGAGGGGUAUGUGAAUCCGGAUGAAAGAAAAGGAGGUUGAAAAAGAUCCAAAUGAAUGACAGGAACAGCACUCUCUGAAACACAGCACCUCUGAGCAGAGGAGGGCGAGAAGAGGUGAUGGGGAGAUGAAGCGGAGGUUUAACGUUUACAUGGCAAUAAUUAAAAAUAUACAUAGUGGAAAGAGAAGGAAACGGGUGAUGUGUGCGACCUUGUGUGGUUUACGAAGAUAGAUAUAGUCGGAGGACAAAAUUGUCCCCAGAAAUGACCUAAAUUUGACAAAUAUCCCUCUGGAGACACCCUAAACAGUAAAAUUAAUUAAUAAAUGAAUUUAAAUGUAAAUAAAGAAAUACAUUUACAUAAAUACAUUUCAAUUUAAAUAAAUAAAAACAUUUAUAAAUUUGAAUGUAAAAAGUCUUUUUUAAAUGUGUCUAUAAGUCGUCUCUGUCUUCAUUUAGAUAAACAUAUAAAUUUGCUGAUGUACAGCUCACAUGUAAUAAUACACAAUAAUGGCUAGGUAAAAAACCUUAUCAGGCCUCAUCAACCUGUGUUAAACAGAGUCUUACAAAAGCCCAAUCUGAACACUGCUUUCUUCUUUAUGUCAUAGUUCUUUAUAUCAUAAACAACGUUUUAACAUUCAAUUUCAAUUUUCUUUGGACUAUGCUGAGGUGCCGAGGCAUUUCCUUUGUGCGUACGCGUCUGUGUAUGCACGUGCGUGUGCAGAUCGCUUUGUGGCCGUGACAAUGGGCCAGGGAACAGACGGUGAGAGUGUGUGUAUGUCAUCGGCGACUGCCGUAGACUGGCGGAGUGUGUCAGAUCCAGCCUAAAAUGACUAGCAGCUGGGGGUGACAGUUGUUUUAACAGCUGAGCUGACAGGAUUAAUUCAAAUGCACUGAAAUCAAAAAGUGGAGAACACCUGUUCAGUCUUCCAGCGGUCCCCACGUCCAGGCAGGGGAUCAGGCUCGGGCGUGCAGCCAGGCUAGAGCUCUCUCUCCUGGAAAAGUAUGGUGGGUGCACCGCCACCAUGGGACAGGAGAAGGGGCGUAGGGAGGGGGAAAAAAAAUGAAAACAGUGGCGGAAUAGGAAGGAGUCCAAGAGCAAAGGAAGGCAGAGAGAGACACACUUGAAGGGAAAGAGGGAGGACUGGGAUCCGCCUAGCUUGUUUCUGAACAUCUGGCUCAAAUAAAAGGCCUAUUUUCUGGCAGGCCGAAGGGUGCUGACCUAGGGCCGCUCAGCAGAGACAGAUUGCUUCAUUUCAAAGUGUGAUGCCUGACCACAGGACUGCUGGGGUUAAUUCUGAGGCUCCCCCUCAUGUUCAAAGACCCCCUGCCGGAGCUUCAUUCACUUACUGGUGUCCACUACCGGCCUUCAGUCUCAUACACUCAAGACGAGGAAGUGGAGCAUCUGUGUAGUAUGGAGUGUGUAGUAUGUGAUGGAGAGUCAUUAAUAGACUGUGUUGUGUUUACAAUCCCCAGGGGAAGAUCUUAGUUUGUCAUCACAUUAAAUUCGGCAUGAAAUGGAAUUCAUCCUAUCUGUUAUCAAAAUGCAUGUUGAUCUUAUUUUGAAUUAUUCAUCUGUGCAUAUCAUUUUUAAUUUUUUUUUUUUUUAAAUCAAAAUGUCAUAACUUGAUCUUCCGAUGCUGUAUGCUGGUUUCCUCCAAUCAUUUAGUCAGCUUAAACCCCCGCAACUUUCUUACAAUCAAUCGCAAGAACUUUUGAUGCACAGGACCAUGUUCCCAUCCUACAUUUUUUCUCCAUUUCACUUGAAAGGAUGCAUGUCACAAUACAGACCGCUAGGUUGUGAGUUUACGGCCUGAAACACAGUAUACUCAAGCACAUGAAAGCAAAUGCUUCUGGCUGUGCAAGCUAGGUUGCACAAUAUUUGAACUUUUUUGCAAUUGACAAUACAAUGCAAAUGCAUUCUUAGCAUCACCACCAGGGGUGCAAUAGCGAGCAAGGUUGACUACUGUCAGGUGGAGCAGCAGUUUGAAGAGAAUUUUACUAUGUUAGCCAAACUGUUAGCAUUUUUAGCUAGCUACCUGGACAUAAUGCAUGAUAUUUAAAAAAAAAAAAUGCUGCUAAAUCUUAAGAUUGCAUUUGUCAUGUGGUAUUUGCCUACACAUACUAACUCCUAACCCUAACUUAAAACCUAAGUAUAGUACUGGUAGCACAUUCUGAUAUAUAACUUUACGGUUUGUCGUGAUCAGAUCCAUUCAUAUUUCUGAACUCUGAACUAAAGUCUGCACUUUUCUUGACAAGUGACUGCAUGAUUGAUUUAACCAGUGGAAUUGACUUGACAUGGGAUUUGGGGUUUGGGGAAAACAAUACCGUCUGCAAAUAUAACACUUCCAGUUUAAUGAGAAAGUCAUUUGAAAGUAACUAUCACCUCCUUGCGCACUGUGAAAGUGUACGCAACAGGACUGUGCACUUGCAAUGCAUUAGCCAAUGAAGUUUGCAUACUUGUUUCUGGCCUAAAGUCAAACUUCUACAGAAAAAUGUCCUGACUUGUGUGUGUUUACCUUUACCAAAGACUUUUUUGUGAGUGUGUGUUUGUACGUGCUCGACAUGUUGUGUGCGGGUGAGCAGCCUCUGACAUUUGGCCUGUGCACAUCCACUGUUUGUUCUAAUCUACUCCAACCCAAGCAAAUACACCUAAAUCUGCUUUGUAAUUUACUUUACAUAUCCCUUUUUAACCCUGUUGAGCCUCAAGUGAGUGUGUAUAUGUGUGUUAGAAAAGAAGUGAAUGGAUUUAGAUUUAGAUUUACAGGGGCGUGUAAUGGAUAUGAGGAAGGGAUUUGCAAGCCAUGUGAAAGGCCUCUAACGCCACAUCAAAAUAACCAACAACCACUGACCCCCAAUUACCCAUAAUGCAACAGCACGCCAGAGCCUAGCGGUUCAACCAUACGCACAUGCCUGCUAUUGCCAUAUUUCCUCUUGCCUUGAUUCCCUUUUCAGAAAUCACACACACACAGUGUUUCAAAAAGCCACCAGUGCAAUUGGGAAAAAGUGCUGUGAUGGAGAUUCAGAAAGCUCUCUAUCUACUAAAGCAUGAUCAAAGA